UGGUGGUGCCCGGCUUGGC
rnacentral:misc_RNA from 1 species